ACGUCAAUGAAGUGGAGUCUGGACAGUGUUUGUAAACAAUGGACAAAUACACCCUUUUUUCCACCCCCAUCGGACAGGGAUCCUUUGGGAGAGUGUACAAAGCGAUUGAAAAUGACAGCAAGAACAUCGUGGCGCUGAAGAGAAUCCAAAAGAGUGGCCGGUCUUCCAGGGAAUUGAAAAACCUGCGGAUGGAGUACGAGAUUCAGAUGCAACUGCGACACCCAAACGUGAUUCAGAUGCUGAACUCCUUUGAGACAUCGAAAGAGAUUGUGGUGAUCAUGGAAUUCGCACAGUGCGAUUUGCACACACUUCUGCGGGAAGGAUCAAUCGGAGAGCCUCGAACGAGGAGACUGACUUACGAUCUCGUGUCUGCCCUAUACUACCUACACUCGCAUCGCAUCCUGCAUCGAGAUCUCAAGCCCCAGAACAUCCUGAUUGACAAGGAGGAACAUGGAAAGCUGUGCGAUUUCGGCUUAGCUCGGAACAUGACUAUCGAUACGCACGUUUUGACCUCUAUCAAGGGAACUCCUCUUUACAUGGCUCCUGAAAUUAUACAGGAGAAACCCUACGACUAUAAGGCGGAUUUCUGGUCUCUGGGAUGCAUAAUCUACGAGUGUCUGGCUGGUCAACCACCCUUCUGUACGGACAAUAUUGUGCAGCUCGUAAAAUUCAUUCAGCGCGAUGAUGUGAAGUGGCCGAGUUUCCUCACAGAUUCCUGCAUCUCCUUUCUACAAGGACUGUUGGAGAAAAAUAGCCGACUUCGCGUCGAAUGGGAGAGCAUUCUAAAUCAUGAGUUCGUUAAAGAUAAUCUUGUCAUUCUCAAGGAAGACAUUCCCGAUUCACCCUUCACGAAACCACUCACAGCGUCACAGUCGCGCGAGAAGGAGCGCCAGGCGGAGAUGCUGAUGGAUGGGAAAAGACACUCGUUCACAUCCCCCAGAAUACUCAAACCGCCUCAGCUAAAGAACCUUCCUAUUGACGAUGAUGCAACAUCUUCUCGCGACAGCACGCACGCAAUUCUCCAAAGUGAUCUGGAGCCUCUCGAGACAGACAACGAGGAAUCACCUCGGGCGGCAAGGGACGAUGUUGUCUAUGUGUCCGGGAAUGAAAAUAUGGUUCUUGGGAGGAUGAAUGACAACUUUGCCAAGUCCGUGAAAUCCGCUAAAGAGAUCAACAUGAAGGAAAAUCACAAGAGAUCGAAAAACAAUGAGUUGGAGAGGAAAAAACUCAGUCAGAAUCUGGACAAUUUCUCCCUGAGACUCGAAACUGGAGCUGAAGAUGAGGAGAAGAGCGCAAAGGUGACGGAAGACAGUGAACGUCGGAUGUCCGAGAAGAAGGUGGAGAAAUCCAUGGGUUCCUCAGGUGUCACUGAUCCGGAGACUGUGGAGAAUCGCCUUCCAGAGUUGUCUCCUGGCUGGGACUCUUGCGACGACACCCAGAGCUCUCCGAUUGAGAACGACGAGUGGCUCGCCUUCAUUCAUCGGUCGAUGCAAGAGAUUCUGGACGGGGAAGUUGACUCCUUGAUGCAACACAACCUGAUUAACAUCAUCGUGUCUCCGCUGAGGAACUCAAAGGCCUCCUGCAAAGUUGUGGAAAGCGUGACUCAGCUCCUGAGUUUGCCGUUCAUACUGGGUGGGCCACCGAGUGUCCUCCUCGACAUACGAAAUGUUUAUGUGGAAGUGAAACUUGUGCCAAAUUUGGUUUAUGCGUCGAAAUUGCUCUGCUGCAGGCGUGAAAUAGAAACCAGUGACAGUCCAUCACCUAUUCAAUCCGACAAUUACAUGUGCAAGACGCUGAGAGAUUUGUCCCAAGACGACAUCAAGACGCUAGCGAGCCUCUAUGAACUUGUGUGCCACUUAGUUCACCUCAGCGACUGCUGCCUCAGCCAAUUCUGCGACGCACUGGUUGUCCUGGGAGCCACACAACUGCUGGUGAAUUUCAUUUACUCAGAGAGUGGAAACUGCCACUAUGUUCGUCUCAUGAGCACUGUCGUGGCCAUUCUGGCGUGCACAAUUCGGGAAAUGCCGGAAAAUGCGUACCUCGUGGAGAAGAUUGUGUUUGACGAGAAAGUGGAUCUGGUGAAGUUCCUGAAGCACAGCAGCAAUCUCUUACGCUAUCGAACCUGCAUUCUGCUGCGCAUCCUGGGCAGAUUUAGCUGCGCCAGUCUGCAGACGAAGUGGUCAAGCGGCAUGAGGGACACGCUCGAGGCCCUGGCGUAUGAUUCGGACGAGCAAGUGAGAAAUGAAGCCGAGUCUGUUUUGAUGGAGUUCAGAAAUCUCUCCUUCUACACAUCAGUUGGCGAUGACGCUUAAUUGCAGUGUGACGAUGUGCAUUGAAAUUUCCUUACAAAUUAAUCGGCGAAGCUUGCGAACCUUUUCGUCCUCAAAGGAUUAAACGGCGUGCGUGAAGUGAGGCGCUCGUCGAAUUGGCGUACAUCGAGUAGCGCCGCUGCGGGGAAAAGUGGGUGAAGAGUGAGGAGAUGACACAUAAUAUUGACAAGAAAUGACAGAAUGUGUGCACAUACAUAUGUGGAAUACAUAGUUGCAUGUGACGUGAAUAGAGAGAGAUGAUGAAUAUGUAUGUAAUUAAGAGGAAAAUUAAAAAUAUAUCUA